UCGUGCUAGACGGGGAACUAGCGGUGCCCUGUACCCGCAACCCGCUAUAGCGGGGUUGAAUUCCCUUUCGAGGAUCGGCGGUCAGCGGGACUGUCGGUGCAGCCGGUGUUGAGGGUUGGGUCCUGUGCGGCGGGGGCCUGCGAACCGGGUCAGGACCGGAAGGUAGCAGCCCUAAGUAGUCACCCUCGGGCGCCACGGGGCAGCCUGGCCCGAGCCGGCGGCUCUCGGCAAGCCGAGUGACGAGGUUCGACAAAGGGUGCACGA
rnacentral:SRP_RNA from 1 species